rnacentral:lncRNA from 1 species
CGAUGUUUCACUUGAUUAACUCUGCACGGUCAAGGUGAGGGCAACUUAAAGUGCCUGUCUCCCUCAAGGCCCCCAGAUAUUGUCUGACUCUCUUCCUUGCCAACACUUCCUACUCCAGAUGGUAGCUGCCACUGAUCUUCAAGGGCUAAAAUACCUGUUGUGAAAAUGCUGUUUAAACAAGACCCAGAUAUUCCUGUGGAAAGUAUGCACUGAAGGAUAACCAAAACCAGACAAUUAUCAAGAAACAAGAAGAAAUGGAAAAUAACUUCUGCGUGUUUACAACAUAUCAGCUUCUUUCUCUACAUGAAGCACACAAUGAGAACG